rnacentral:lncRNA from 1 species
GGCAAACUCACCUUGGCUUCAUGAGUGAUGUAGUGACCCCCAGAGAAGCUUGUAGGGGAGAAUAGGCAAGGAGAAUGAGAUGUUCAUAGGGAUGUUCAUGGGAUGUUCCCUUUAAAUAAAGGGAAGCCCUUGAGGCAAUCUCAGAGGGGGCUUCCCAACUCAGAGAAAAGGAAGAGCUUGUCAUAGAGAAGCACAGAAUUCAUGACAUCAUCUUAUUGAAAGAUCACAGAAACUCUGAAUUUAUUUCCCAUCAAUAAAGUUACAAAUGUUUUCGUUUCCCCUUGGAAACCUAAUAUGAAUAUGCCGUGGAAUUUGUUUUUUCCCCAGUGAAUUAAAAGGCAUGCGAAGGUUUACUAAAAAGCCAAGUGGUUUGGGGACUGAAAAAGUAGAGAAAUCCUGCUUGAAACUAUCCAUUGCCUAGAAGAGGAUGGACAUGGAGCCCAGUCCUGACUCCAAACACUUCCUGCUUUACUCAGCCCAGUGAGGCUACCUGCUGGGAACAGAGGACAGCUGAAGAAAGAUGCAGAGCUCUGGCAGAGAGUGAGCAAGGCAAGCAAUGGGAAUGACUGUUGCCUCUGGAAGCUGAAGAAAUGUUCAUGGAGCAUUGUGGGUAUUGGCCACCAGGAGCAGUGAUGGGGAUCGGUGACUUGUGUCACCUGGUAAGAGGUGCAGAAAGCAGGCUCCCUCCACUGACAUAGGCUAUGGAUGAGAGGACCAGUUUUGGGAAACAACAUCUGCCAUCCCUUCCAGAGCCCUCUCUAGGACAGUACUAUAUCAUGAUUGCAACUCCUGCCUUCUUUCUAUCAGCUGAGGUCCAGAAGAUCUUACUCCAUCCUUUAAUUCUGACCUUGUGAGUGUCUACCCGCCUCAUGU